rnacentral:rRNA from 1 species
UACGGGGGGAGCAGGCGUUGUUCGGAUUUACUGGGCGUAAAGGGCGCGUAGGCGGCCUCCGCAAGUCGACUGUGAAAUCUCCGGGCUUAACCCGGAACGGUCAGCCGAUACUGCGGGGCUAGAGUGCAGAAGGGGCAACUGGAAUUCUCGGUGUAGCGGUGAAAUGCGUAGAUAUCAAGAGGAACACCUGCGGCGAAGGCGGGUUGCUGGGCCGACACUGACGCUGAGGCGCGAAAGCCAGGGGAGCGAACGGG